rnacentral:ribozyme from 1 species
GCCGCUCAUGAAGACAGCCUCCACGUGGCGAGCGGUGGGCAGCGGGGUUAAAUUCGUUGGCUAAUGUCUUA